rnacentral:lncRNA from 1 species
AUGGGCGCUCUGCUCAAGCCGCCCACUGCCCAGCACAAGUACGGGCAGGGGCAAGGCGGGCAGUGCCCAGCUGAGGUCCCUGUGGCCGCCCCCCACCCGCGCCUCCAGAGGCUGUCGGACCCGCCUGGGCCUUAUCACCUUUAUACUAAUGGAGCUGCUUCUCCCCGCCGGCAGGAAACCCCGGCUCCCGCUCCUGGCCGCGGGGCGCAGGAAGCGGUCCCGGGACGCAGGCUACCACGUUUCCUAGGCGAGCGAGGCGCGCGCCGAGCUCAGCGCAGGAGGGUUCUGCAGCCUGGGGACCCUCCACUGGUCCGCCCCCAGAAGGCCGACGGUGGUCGUCCUCACCCGGAACCCCCGCCCCGCCCCUCCAGCCUCUGGGGGCCCAGGUGGGUUCUGGGCUCCCCCGCGGGAAAGUGGGCGUUCUGGGGCUGCCCCUGGCGCUCAGGCGCCUGCAGGAGCGGAAGCUUCCCCGCGUGUGGGGGCGGAACAGAUGGCCCAGACAGCCCCGCGCAACCUUGUCCCCACUGAAGGACCCCACGAAUCCCCACGCCCCGACGGCUGUGGAGAGUGGGGGGAGACUUUGCCGACAGCAUCCCCCCACCCGUGCUGGCUGCUCUCCCCCACCCCCACCCCGCCAUGUAAACACGAGGACUUUCUCGAGAGCUUUGGAGAGCCGCUCUAGUGGCUUCGGGGCCUGAAACCCCAGGCUUGGCUUGUUUGAUGUUUAGCAUCCCAAAGCGGUUCCCCACCCCCGCCCCAGCCUGGGAAGCUGGAGCCGCGGGCCGGGAAGGAGGCAAGCUGGGGUCCUCCGGGCCAGGAGGCAGGUGGGGGCAGCGAGAGGACUUCAGCUGCACGGGAGAGGGGUUGGCCGGGGCAGCAGCAGCUUAGGGCCCGCGAGUGAAAUCCGAGCCAGGCCGGGGCCGACUGGGCGAGACGCGCUCUGGGUACCGCUCCUGCAGGCGAGGGCGGCCCGGCGCGCUCGGGUCGGGAGCGCCUCCCGGCAGGAGGCAGCCCUUCCGCUCAGCGCUUCAGGUUUGGCCUUUCCGAGGGAAUGAGUUGCCCGGGAACCUCACUGGGGCU